rnacentral:tRNA from 1 species
GGAGAGAUGCCCGAGCGGUCGAAGGGGCACGCCUGGAAAGCGUGUGUGCGGUUUCCGUACCCUGGGUUCGAACCCCAGUCUCUCCGCCA